UUAAAGGUAAUAGGAACCUCUUAAAAUUUGGAAGUAAGUGACAUAACCUGAUCAGUGCUUUAGGAAAAUGAUCUAGUGGCAGAAUGGAGGGUUGGAAGGCAGGUAGAACUGAAAAUAGGAAGAUUAGAUAAUAAGCUAGUAGGGUGGACCCUAGUCUCACUUUUUAUCCUCAUGGAAUUUAGAAGACCAUUACCAGUCCAUAGCUAGAGUGAUGGUUACAGAAUCAGAUGAGAUAGUGUUAAAGGAAUGUAUGUUGUUAAGUUGUAAAUAUGAGGUUUGUAAUUGUAGUGGUGAUAUCAUUCUGUUCCCUUCAUAGGAAGUGUUUGCUGUUCUCUCUCUUACUCCAGGCUUACAAACACUGGUGCAGAAGCUGGACCAUCUAGAUUCUCCUUUGGGCUCUGAGACUGUGUGUAACCUUGGGAAAAUCAUUUCUUGGUUUUCCUCAUCAGAAAAAUGUGGUCCAAUUCAUCUCCAAAAUUAUUCCACACUUACAGCUUCUAAGUUCUUAAUAGUAUUUAUUUUGGGGGGAAGAACAAGGAUAAUAGAUGGCUAUAAACAAAAUGAUUAUUUUAAAUAAUUCCAGUCGCAGACAGCAGUCAGCUGUGUAAAUCCCACUGGUAUCCUUUUAUCUAUGUGUUGUUAAUUUUAAGGAGGAGAAAGUGAGAUAGGCUGUAAGUUAAAAAAAAAAAAGAGUCCACUCUUCUAUGAUAUUUAAAUAUUUAUUUACGUUUAAAAAUAAUUUUCAUGGCACCAAUGAUUUUAUGCUAACUACAUACUGCAUAUGUAGAAAAAAGUACAUUGCUUUGAAGGAAAAUGUAACUUAUAAUUUUUGGCACACAAGAGGUUAACAACUAUAUAUAUUUUUAAUGAAACUAAGAAAUUCACAUUUGCAGGUAGUUUACCUUCUACUGCUUAAAGAUGCAGUACACUAUUCUUUAGUAAGAGUUUUAUUUCCUCUGAUAGAUGAAGCUGUGGAAACCACUGCUUUUUCUACAAUGAGAUCAAAACUAAUUUUGAGAGAAAAUAGGAGACAUAGUGGAACACAGUAAAAUCAGGUUAAAAACUUGAACAAUUUCUAAUGAUGGGGAGAUACCAAAAAAGACUAGUCACCAACAAAGGAAGUUUGUUAUUCAAGCACUAUUUGAAAAGCAAAUUGAAGGAAACUUUUCUAUCUGUAUUUUGUGGGAUAAGCCCUGGAAAAAAAAACCCAAAAGUUUCUGUUCAGAGAGCAAAAUCCAGCUGUAGGAAGUGGCAUGGACUAUUGUACUGUUAGAACUCUAGACACAAGUACGUACCAGGAUAUGGAAUACUUCAUCUUUCUUUAAUGUGAAUAUGAAAGGUCAGAGUCGAGGCUAUCACUCACUGCAUAGAAACACCAUAUUCUACAGACUGAGGUAGGAACACUACACUAAAAGGUAAUCUGCUAUGUUGCAUAAGACAGUAGAUAUCCAGGUUAAAACCAGCCCCCUAUUUCCUGACAGCCUUUUCUUCUCCGAGUCUACUUUUUACUCCAAUCCUGUGCUAAUAAAGCCUUUCCUGUAGAUGACAAGUGGCAGUGGCUAGUUGGUUCUAAGCGAUCCCUAAUCUUUACUAGGCUCUCCCUCAUAUUUUGUCUUGUCACUUUGAAAAUAGAUGUUUGUAAUUCUGCCCAAAUUUCUGCUGGUAUGGAAAUGAUCAGACAGGCCCUCUUCCAUGCUUAGAUUCUGGCUGCGUUUUAGCAUUCCAGUGGUUGAUCUUGCUCAUCUUGGCAUCAGACAUCUCUUUGCUGGUUGGUUGUUCGAGCACCCUUUAAACAAGCAACCCCAGUGCCUCUACUGGGAAGUGAUCCCGGAUCUUUAACACAUGUCAGGAAUUGGAGCAGAGCUGACCCUCUUUCUGCUUACACACUGGUAAGGAGCAGUUUUAUUGUCUAGCUUGGGGUUGGCAGAUUAUGGCCUGUGGGCUAAAUUCAGCUCACUGCCUGUUUUUAUAAAUAAAAAUGUUAUUGGAACACAGCUUUGCUCCUUUGUUUAUGUAUUACCUAUGGCUGUUUUGUGAUAAGAUGGCGGAGUUGAGUAGUUGCCAGAGUAUGGCCCACAAAACCAAAAUAAAAAAAUAUUUACUAUCUGGCACUUUACAGUAGAAGUUUGCCGACCCCUGGUCUAGAUAAAAGGGCAAUUAAAAUUUUGAAACACAGCACCACCCCCAACCUUAAAAAAGGAAAAACUCCGUUUAUCCAUGGCUAUUAGAUUCUAUAUAUGGACAUGGUUCUGCUGUCUCAGAGGACAACUAGGGGAAAGCAGAUCUACAUGUGACUCAUUCUGUUUUGCAUUUGAGGCUCCCCAGCAUCAUAGGGUGUCAGCAGCUGCUCCACUGUUAUGUGGGUCCCAGGAAUAUGUCCACUGACUGUCCUUACGUAAGUCCUCAGGCCCAGAUGACUUAGAAAUCUCUCCCUGAGAUGAAAACAAGAUCUUGUGUGUGAGUGGUUGUAAGAGUUGCAGAGCUCGGGCCUCGGACCCCACACUCACCCUCCACAUGCUGCUCUUCUGCAUGGAGCCUCGGCAAGGAUGGUAAGUGCUUUCCUACAACUUUCAUUUUCCCAGUGCAGAGGAUGACGCUAGGGGGCAGUAUUUCUACAUCUAAGUCUUGGUCUCUGCCACAUUCACCUUCUUUUGUAGGCAUCUCUUAGAACUCCUAUUUAAAGAGAUUCUUUUCCUGGUCCCUUCCCAGGCUGUUUGUUGAUCUUGGAAUUCUAUUUUCUGAAGCUUUUUAUUCUCAGGAUCAGUUUCUUCCUUGUGUCGUUUAAGUUCGUCAGGCUCUAUUUUUCUUAAUCCAUAAAGUAAAAACAAAAUAUGAAUUGAUAAGAAAAUACAUUUUGUUGUUAAAAUAUAAAUUGAAAUAGUCUUUUUUGGGGGGGGAUGGUGUUGUACAAAAUAAGUACUGCUCUGUGACCUCAACGGUCUCUCAGGUACCUUAGCUCUGGUUUCUGUUAACUACACUUAGUCCUGCAUUUCUGACAGUUCUAUCCCUGGCACCACCAAAUUCACCUAAUGCUUCUGGAGCACUAUAAAAGGCUUGAGGGUCUUCAGAAAAAACCCCCACAGAAGUCUAAGUUCAUUAUACAAAACUCAUGGUGAUGCCCACUAGGAACUAGUCUAAGGGGACAGACUUACCCCACCCCUGCUGCUGCUGCUGCUGUAGUGGUGGUCCCUUCAGAUGCCCACUCUGCUCAGAUUUGAAAGAAAUAAAAGGAAAAGAAAAUCCAACUCAGACCGUCAUAAGAAGCAACUUUCCAUUUAAUCAUUCUACACGGAUGUUUACUUUUUUUUAAAAGCUCUGUCUGGGAAGAAAACCUAGACAGUCCCCAUUGUCCAGACCCCUGGCUUGCCCCACUGAGGCUGCAGUGAUGAGUCUACUGGAACUGAGUAGGAAAGCUCCUGCAGAAUACAGAAGACAACAGCUCUCUAGUCUCCAACUAGUGUCCCAUCUACUAGGUGACACUACUGCGAGAAUCAGUAAUAAUAAAAUAAAUUAUUUUUGAUAUUUUCAAAAUAAUACACAUCUAUGAAAAAUCAAAAUUCAAAACCAAAAAUUUUAUCCUGCAAAUUGGGAGGAUGAGAAACAGAGUCACCGAGCCUUUCUUGAAAGAACCUCUGAAGGAAAUGAGUUUUCCCAGUUAGUUUAGACAAGGCAUGAGCCUAUCCCUUUCUUCUUCUGGGAAACGACCCUCCUAGGCUGUGGACUUUGAGUCAUGAGAGGAGGACUUGGUACAUGUGCCGAUGGUUCCGCGAUGGGUCCCAUUGCUGGGAAUGGGUAGCCGGGCUCCUUGGUCCACCUGGCUAGUUAUUGGGAGGAUUCAUGCCUUCUCAGGUGUCAGUGAGCAGGCUCACCACUGAGCGGAUUUUGCAGGCAAACCAUCGCCUGAGGGGACAAAAGUAUUGAUAGUGGAAUUGUUCAAACUCGGGGGUCUGGCGGAUAUCGCGGAAAAAGGCAAUGUCAAGGUCGGACUCGGUAAGGAUGAUCAGGAGGAGGAGCAAAACAAAGAGGAGUCCCAUGGUCACAAGGAGCAAACGGAGGACACUUAAAACAAACUUAUUCACCUGUUCCUCCUCUGGCCUGCCGUGCCCCUGACACAGGGCCCUCAGCUCUCCCCCAAGGGCCUCCAUCUCUGCAGCAGUUGGGGUGCUGGCCUCACACUCCUUCUCCUCCUCAAUGCUGCAGGUGGCCCCAUUGAUCUGCCGGGAAAGCAGCAUCAGCUCCAGGCUGUGCUCGGCCACAGGGGUGGGCAGCACACUGUCUGCAGGGCUGUAGGCCUCAUCCGCGAUCACGGCGACUCGCUCAUUGCUGUCUGCCCGGCUGCUUCUCACGUGAGGCAGGAAAGUGUCCCCGUGGGAGGAGUCCUGGCCAUAUUGGUGGUUCCAGAGUGGCUCUCCCUGCUUUUGUGGUCCACAUCAAGAGAAGCUCGUCCCCUUCUGUUGCUCUGAAAUCGACCCUGACUGCCCCAGACAGCUGGACACUCAGCUAGUAAAGGCUUGAUGAUCCCUGCACUGAUAGAGCCGCUCAACUGCUAAAAUCUUGUAUUUUUUUUCACAUCCAAACCAGAUGUCCAUCUGCCUCUCCUCACCCUGAAUUACAUUCUGCCUGUGAGUUUCAUUCCUGCCAGGGCAGUUCUCAGCUUCUACCCACGCUCUUCUGAGUCUAAUGGGCCUCGA